AGAGUCAUGGUUCAUCACAUCCCUCACAAGUUUUCAAAGAUUAUGUCAGAGGCCUCCACCCACUACCCUCUUGGAAUCCUGUUCAAGGAUGAAAACAAAUCUGGAGACUUGGUGGAUGUUCUACAGCACCUCCAGAAAGAGUAUGCUCCAAAGGGCCCAGAUGGAGAGCAUUCUAGUCGGCGGUGACCGGCUGACGGAGGGGAAACGUAGGAACCUUCAGUAGAGCUUUGC